AGACGUCUACAUUAGAUACCCCGGUAGUCCCAGCCGUAAACUAUGCGCGUUAGGUGUAUCGGUGACCACGAGUUACCGAGGUGCCGAAGGGAACCGUGAAACGUGCCGCCUGGGAAGUACGGUCGCAAGGCUGAAACCUAAAGGAAUUGGCGGGGAGCACCACAACAGGUGGAGCCUGCGGUUUAAUUGGACUCAACGCCGGGAAGCUCACCGGAUAGGACAGCAGAAUGAUUGCCGGGCUGAAGACCCUGCAUGACUAGCUG
rnacentral:rRNA from 1 species